rnacentral:rRNA from 1 species
GACGAACGCUGGCGGCGUGCCUAAUACAUGCAAGUAGGACGCAGUUGCGAACGGGUGAGUAACGCGUAGGUAACUACCUAUUAGAGGGGGAUAACUAUUGGAAACGAUAGCUAAUACCGCAUACUAGUAGAUGGACCUGCGUUGUAUUAGCUAGUAGGUAGGGUACUGGCCUACCUAGGCAACGAUAGAUAGCCGACCUGAGAGGGUGAUCGGCCACACUGGGACUGAGACACGGCCCAGACUCCUUCGGGAGGCAGCAGUAGGGAAUCUUCGGCAAUGGGGGGAACCCUGGACGAGCAACGACGCGGGGGUGAAGAAGGUUUUCGGAUCGUAAAGCUUUGUUGUGAAGGAAGCGGUACUUAACGAGAAAGGGACGGCUAACUACGUGCCAGCAGCCGCGGUAAUUC